rnacentral:lncRNA from 1 species
UUUAACCUAAGAAUUAAAUGAAUUUAAAAAAUUCAAUUUCAAGUUAUUUGUAAAGUCAUAAAAUUUUAAGUUUACUUUCUUUAAAAAUAAAACGUGCUUAUUACAGGCUUUUUCAUCAUGUCAUGCUUAGCUCAUCUCUAAUCGUGCCGUGCAUUUAGGGCUCGUGUGCCUAAAAUUCUAAGCUCGGCCCAACCCAUGUGCAUGUUGUACCGUGCUGCAUGCCCCACCGAAACUUGCUCAUGUCGUGCCAUCCUGUACGGACACGUGACAUGCCAUGCUCGUGCUAUGCCACGUGCCAUUUAGCCCAUUGGGCAUCUCUAAUUGUAAACCGCAACCCAAAUUGAAUUCCUCUUAAAAUCAAUCUAAACCAAACUAAAAUGGUUGGGUUGGAUUAGACCGUUCAGAUUUGAUUUAAAAUGCCCAACCCUACUAAUAAGGCCUAUUAAGUACUUGAAAUUCACUAGGCAUCAACAAGUGGUGUGAAUUUCGUCACAUGUGAAUAUCCUAAUCAUACAAAACUUCUAUGUUACAAAUAAAUGAAAGGUUAAUUUCGGCGUAUCCCCCUUGUGAAGUGACAAUUUUUAAAUUAUCCUCUUUAUUUUUGGAAACAUCAAGUUACUCUUCAGUAAUGGCGUGAGAAAUGUAGUGAAGUAUGGCCGCUUGCGGCCAAGGGUUUGGUAUCCAUAGGUACAAAAUGAAAAUUUUUUAAAGUAUUUGAGUACGUACUAUUAAUACUUGAAAUAUUUAUGUGUGGUUUGAAAAACUUAAAAAGAUUUAGACCCAUGAAAUUUAGUCUACACAGCAGUUUAACCUUUCUCUAUUAAUUAACUAUUAGGAGAAUGUACAAAUAUUAUUUUACCCUUUUAACCAUUAAAAACAACAUAGAGAUAAUGAUUAUUAUGGAUUAACUUAAUGUUUUCAAAAGUAAGAGAGGCAAUUUAAAGAUUCUCAAUUCUUUGAGGAGGAUAUGCCGAAAUUAACCCAUAAGUGAAACAAAACAAAAUGAUUCUAAUGCUAACCUUUCCAACAAAUCAAGAUUGCAUGCAGUAUUAUUCUUCCAUACUUAAUUGACAUGUGAUCGGUAAUAUUGGAAGGUCAAUUAACCAUUUAAUACAUGCCAUCACAAGUGAUUAUAGAGUUAGAGUCCGAUUUAUAUUCUAAUCAGACUCCUAUCAAAGUUAUGCAUAGAUUUUACAGUCAAAUUGUUCUCUUUUUAAUCCUCCUAUAAGUUAAUUUCUUAAACUUGUUGCUAUUAGGGAUGGCAAAGAAGCUCGGGUCGGCCGGCCCUAUUCCCACAGACUUUAGCUCGAGCUUCCCACAUGAGGGCCUGGACAAUGGCUUAGAAAAAAAGUUCGGGCCAGACCCAAGCCCUUUAUUUAG